UAGGGAAUCUUCCGCAAUGGGCGAAAGCUUGACGGAGCAACGCCGCGUGAGUGAUGAAGGUCUUCGGAUCGUAAAACUCUGUUAUUAGGGAAGAACAAAUGUGUAAGUAACUAUGCACGUCUUGACGGUACCUAAUCAGAAAGACACGGCUAACUACGUGCCAGCAGCCGCGGUAAUACGUAGGUGGCAAGCGUUAUCCGGAAUUAUUGGGCGUAAAGCGCGCGUAGGCGGUUUUUUAAGUCUGAUGUGAAAGCCCACGGCUCAACCGUGGAGGGUCAUUGGAAACUGGAAAACUUGAGUGCAGAAGAGGAAAGUGGAAUUCCAUGUGUAGCGGUGAAAUGCGCAGAGAUAUGGAGGAACACCAGUGGCGAAGGCGACUUUCUGGUCUGUAACUGACGCUGAUGUGCGAAAGCGUGGGGAUCAAACAGG
rnacentral:rRNA from 1 species